rnacentral:rRNA from 1 species
GAUGAACGCUAGCUACAGGCUUAACACAUGCAAGUCGAGGGGCAGCAUGAACUUAGCUUGCUAAGUUUGAUGGCGACCGGCGCACGGGUGAGUAACACGUAUCCAACCUGCCGAUGACUCGGGGAUAGCCUUUCGAAAGAAAGAUUAAUACCCGAUGGCAUAGUUCUUCCGCAUGGUAGAACUAUUAAAGAAUUUCGGUCAUCGAUGGGGAUGCGUUCCAUUAGGUUGUUGGCGGGGUAACGGCCCACCAAGCCUUCGAUGGAUAGGGGUUCUGAGAGGAAGGUCCCCCACAUUGGAACUGAGACACGGUCCAAACUCCUACGGGAGGCAGCAGUGAGGAAUAUUGGUCAAUGGACGAGAGUCUGAACCAGCCAAGUAGCGUGAAGGAUGACUGCCCUAUGGGUUGUAAACUUCUUUUAUACGGGAAUAAAGUGAGGCACGUGUGCCUUUUUGUAUGUACCGUAUGAAUAAGGAUCGGCUAACUCCGUGCCAGCAGCCGCGGUAAUACGGAGGAUCCGAGCGUUAUCCGGAUUUAUUGGGUUUAAAGGGAGCGUAUGCGGACGCUUAAGUCAGUUGUGAAAGUUCGCGGCUCAACCGUAAAAUUGCAGUUGAUGCUGGGUGUCUUGAGUACAGUAGAGGCAGGCGGAAUUCGUGGUGUAGCGGUGAAAUGCUUAGAUAUCACGAAGAACUCCGAUUGCGAAGGCAGCCUGCUGGACUGUAACUGACGCUGAUGCUCGAAAGUGUGGGUAUCAAACAGGAUUAGAUACCCUGGUAGUCCACACAGUAAACGAUGAAUACUCGCUGUUUGCGAUAUACAGUAAGCGGCCAAGCGAAAGCGUUAAGUAUUCCACCUGGGGAGUACGCCGGCAACGGUGAAACUCAAAGGAAUUGACGGGGGCCCGCACAAGCGGAGGAACAUGUGGUUUAAUUCGAUGAUACGCGAGGAACCUUACCCGGGCUUGAAUUGCAACUGAAUGAUGUGGAGACAUGUCAGCCGCACGGCAGUUGUGAAGGUGCUGCAUGGUUGUCGUCAGCUCGUGCCGUGAGGUGUCGGCUUAAGUGCCAUAACGAGCGCAACCCUUAUCGAUAGUUACCAUCAGGUUAUGCUGGGGACUCUGUCGAGACUGCCGUCGUAAGAUGUGAGGAAGGUGGGGAUGACGUCAAAUCAGCACGGCCCUUACGUCCGGGGCUACACACGUGUUACAAUGGGGGGUACAGAAGGCAGCUACACGGCGACGUGAUGCUAAUCCCGAAAGCCUCUCUCAGUUCGGAUUGGAGUCUGCAACCCGACUCCAUGAAGCUGGAUUCGCUAGUAAUCGCGCAUCAGCCACGGCGCGGUGAAUACGUUCCCGGGCCU